UUCAGCCAAUUAAGGCGAACCAAUCAUGGGUUAUUGUGGCUCCGAACACUCAGAUGAAGGCGUUCGGGAGAUUUGAGUGUGUUGAUUCUCCAGGGAAGCCUGCGCCGCGUGUGGAAAUGGCGAAAACGUCGGUACAGUUCAGAUCACGAGGGCUUAGAUUUAUGGCAGGAUGCUGGUAAUUGGCCAAACUUUUCAGAGACGUAACAUUUGGUGCAAGACUCUGAUUCAACACCAGAAAUGUUACAAACCAAGCUUGUUGUAGAUUUAUUAAUCCGUUUUAUGUACGAUAAGGCACAUUUCGUAGCUUGUUGGAUUAUAAUUUUCAGGAGGUGUUCAGAAUCUAACUGGUUUGACACUUUCCUCUUGCUGUUGCCUCGAUAAUUUCUUUUGAUGUGGAUCAACUAUCUAUUUGGCUCAUUCAAAUCCCUAGAAAUUGAGGUUAGAUUGUUUUUGGUGCUUGCUCUACCUCUAUUACUUCAUCUGAGAAUUUCAAGGAUAAACGAAGAAAUAGACAGAUUUAGACUGAGCUUCAUACUCUGGAUGAUACUCUGAUAAAGAUCUUGAAAUAAGCUAUGGUUUCAAUCCAUUAGGAGAUUAGAUUUCUUAUUAUUAGAUUACAUAGUUUCUUUUUGCCCGUUUCAGUUCACUUGUUCAUGUGCUAUAACCAUUUAGAGGCACUGUAACGCAGUUUUUCUUCUCAUUAUUUGUUUAUCAUUGAUAUCGACUUUUCAAUUCAGAUCCCAUUUGAACUGCUCAGCCGAUGCCUUGGAAUUUUGCCGGACAGAGGAUACCAACACCACAAUUUGUAUAUUAUAUCAGUGUCAGCACACCGGACUGCUUCUUCCCGGUACUGCUAUGUUUUAAAUGAAAAUUCUCCUAGAAAUUCCUUUCAAGGGGUCAGUACUUCGCCAUGGCUUUGGAUAUGCAUUUGAAUACUUGGAUAUGCAUUUGAAUACUUGGAUAUGGGGUUAUGCCGUCUGAUCUUAUCCUGUUUGUGGGUGAUAUUCUGAUGCUAUCUUACCUGUUAGUUGUUUUUCUACCUUGAACCUGUCUCUUAAUUCAUAAUAGUUUUCAUUAAAUGUCACAGCUCCGAAUACCAUCUUGACAUAACCUUAGUGUUCGUCUUAAUUUUGCUGAUGAUCUUACAUUUUUGUAGAUAGUGAAGAUGGGAUGGGAUCUGAUGGUUCGCUGAGGCAUCAAAGGUUACGAUCAAGUACAUGAAAAUGUUCAGUGGGUCAUAGAUAAUCUUGGAUGAAGUGAACGAGGAUUAUUGGGAGGGAGUUUCAUAUUAGCUAAUUUAGAGAAUAAUCAUGGGUUUAUAAGCAAGGAAUACAUCUCGAUUGAUAUGAGAUACUUUGGGGAAGCUUAAAGUAAAGCCAUGAGAGCUUAUGCUCAAAGUUGGACAAUAUCAUACUAUUGUAGAGAGUCGUGAUUUCUAACAUGAUGCAUCUCUCAAAAUUCUGGUCGAAUGCAGUGUCAUACCAAAAAUUUAGCCUGAAUACUGUUGGGGUGCCAAACUUCUGGUUGGACCCCAAGUUUCAUGUGCCAAGAAUGUCUGGCCAUUUCCAGGCACCAUCCUAUUUGGUAUCCAUUAGGAAAUGAAAUCAAGGAGUCAUCCAUUGGAAGUGGAACAACUCUAUCUCUCUGUUCAAUUACAAGGUGCUUUGGAAGAAACCAUAUUCUGGGCAGGCGAGAAUCAGAAGCUUUCCCAACGCCAUGGCUAUAUACACCAAAGUUUCGGUUGGUUUGAUUCUUGCACUCUUUGCCUUUUCUGUUAACGUUGAUACCUCGCAUUGGAAUCUCAUCUUUCGAGGGCUAAAUCAAACCACACUCGUUCUAACAUGCUUGUAUUUCAUAUGUCAUGUUGGCUUAGCACAAAAAUGACAAUUUAGCUUCAUCAUCUGUUCAUGCUUCACAGGGCCAACAGAUUACGAUUCCUCGUUGCAUUCAUGAAUAGAAGAGGUAUUAAUGUAUCAACUAAUUAUGUCGUGUUUAGGUCUGCAUGCAAGGUUGUUAUCCGAACGAUCGGCUCAUCUAUGAUAAAUCUUUGUGUAGUCGGGGGACAA